UACGUAGGGACCGAGCGUUGUCCGGAAUCAUUGGGCGUAAAGAGCGUGUAGGCGGCUAUUUAAGUCCUGCGUGAAAUCCUGCGGCUCAACCGCAGACGGUCGUGGGAAACUGGAUGGCUAGAGUGCGGGAGAGGAGAGUGGAAUUCCCGGUGUAGCGGUGAAAUGCGCAGAUAGUCGGGAAGAACACCCGUGGCGAAGGCGGGUCUCUGGGGCCGAUACUGACGCUGAGGAGCGAAAGCGUGGGGAGCGAACAGG
rnacentral:rRNA from 1 species